rnacentral:rRNA from 1 species
UACGUAGGGUGCAAGCGUUGUCCGGAAUUAUUGGGCGUAAAGAGCUCGUAGGCGGUUUGUCGCGUCUGCUGUGAAAACCCGAGGCUCAACCUCGGGCCUGCAGUGGGUACGGGCAGACUAGAGUGCGGUAGGGGAGAUUGGAAUUCCUGGUGUAGCGGUGGAAUGCGCAGAUAUCAGGAGGAACACCAAUGGCGAAGGCAGAUCUCUGAGCCGUAACUGACGCUGAGGAGCGAAAGCGUGGGGAGCGAACAGG